UACAGAGGGUGCAAGCGUUAAUCGGAAUUACUGGGCGUAAAGCGUGCGUAGACGGUUACAUAAGUCGGGUGUGAAAGCCCCGGGCUCAACCUGGGAAUUGCAUUCGAGACUGCGUAGCUAGGGUGCGGAAGAGGGAAGCGGAAUUUCCGGUGUAGCGGUGAAAUGCGUAGAUAUCCGAAGGAACAUCAGUGGCGAAAGCGGCUUCCUGGACCAGAACUGACGAUCAGGCACGAAAGCGUGGGGAGCAAACAGG
rnacentral:rRNA from 1 species